CAGCAGCCGCGGGAAUACGAAGGGUGCAAGCGUUAAUCGGAAUUACUGGGCGUAAAGCGUGCGUAGGCGGUGAGUUAAGUCUGCUGUGAAAUCCCCGGGCUCAACCUGGGAACUGCAUUUGUGACUGGCAAGCUAGAGUGUGGCAGAGGGGGGUGGAAUUCCGCGUGUAGCAGUGAAAUGCGCAGAUAUGCGGAGGAACACCGAUGGCGAAGGCAGCCCCCUGGGCCAACACUGACGCUCAUGCACGAAAGCGUGGGGAGCAAACAGGAUUAGAUACCCCUGUAGUCCCUGUCUCUUAUAA
rnacentral:rRNA from 1 species